rnacentral:lncRNA from 1 species
CUCCCGCCUCCCGCCUCCCGGCGCUCCACUUUCCAGCUAGAAAGUGAAGGGGGAGGCCGAGGUCGGGGCACCGGAGCCGGGGAACUUCUCCGAAAAACAGGCUUCUUCCCUAGAUACCUCUCUUAGAACAGUGCCUUGAACCUAACAGUUGUGCAGUCACCUUUUGUGAAUGAAGAAGCAGAUGAAUGCAUGAACACACACCCAGGACAAGCUUUAUGGUCCACUCAGUACGGAAGUCCCUUCACCAGCCUUCCUUGCUAUGAAACUCUGUCAAUCAGAUGUCCUUGCACCUGACUCAUUGUGAAGCUAUUGAUGUAAAGAUGUGGGUAAGAUUUUGCUAAUUAGCCUAUUAAAUAUCGCAAAAAAGUUUACAUUGUGAAAACUAGUGGCUUAUUAAUUAACAGAUGAACA